AUUGAAAGCUGGCGGCAUGCCUUACACAUGCAAGUCGAACGGCAGCACGGGGGCAACCCUGGUGGCGAGUGGCGAACGGGUGAGUAAUGCAUCGGAACGUGCCCAGUAGUGGGGGAUAACCAGUCGAAAGACUGGCUAAUACCGCAUACGACCCAAGGGUGAAAGCGGGGGACCGUAAGGCCUCGCGCUAUUGGAGCGGCCGAUGUCUGAUUAGCUAGUUGGCGGGGUAAGAGCCCACCAAGGCGACGAUCAGUAGCUGGUCUGAGAGGACGACCAGCCACACUGGGACUGAGACACGGCCCAGACUCCUACGGGAGGCAGCAGUGGGGAAUUUUGGACAAUGGGCGCAAGCCUGAUCCAGCCAUGCCGCGUGCGGGAAGAAGGCCUUCGAGUUGUAAACCGCUUUUGGCAGGAACGAAACGGCGCAAGCCAAUACCUUGCGCUAAUGACGGUACCUGCGGAAUAAGCACCGGCUAACUACGUGCCAGCAGCCGCAGUAAAAC
rnacentral:rRNA from 1 species